AUGUGCACGUGUGCACAGCAUUUCAUAUAUGUUCUUGGAAUUCAGUUUUACAAUGAAGGCUAUUUUAUUUCAUCACUGCUGUUACGAGGGCCAGGACAGAUACUGUGUGGGGAUGUGGACAGUGGAUGCGGGUCACCUGGAGCUCACCUGGAUGCAGAGUGCACGGAUCCUUCCAUCCCGUCUCCUCAGACAAACACAUCACACUCGGGAUGCAUGUGGCUCAAUACCCACUCUUGGCAUCCCAUACUCAUAUCCCUGACUAGUGACAGACAGCAGCGCCAGCCAAUGGGCACACAGCCUCCGCUUCGCCUGCCUCCCUACCUGCCUGCUUGCAACUUCACAAAAUCUGGGACGCUCCUGCCAACAGACGCCAUCCUAGAACCUGGCUCUCCAUUCAAACCCGGGAACCCACUUUUAAGCCCCCCCCCACACGCCUACCCCAACUGUGAUGAAGCCAACCGCGCUCCCAAACCACGGUUAGGGUUAACGUCCCACUUGGGAAGCAUGGUCUGGUGCCCAUGUGGACACGGACCAAAAGGGGACAUGCGAGUCUGCUCCUUUCCGGACUCUGUCCACGACGGAACAUGCGAGUCUGCUCCGAUCUGGACACUGUCCACGACGGAACAUGCGAGUCUGCUCCGAUCUGGACACUGUCCACGACGGAACAUGCGAGUCUGCUCCGAUCUGGACACUGUCCACGACGGAACAUGCGAGUCUGCUCCGAUCUGGACACUGUCCACGACGGAACAUGCGAGUCAGCUCCGAUCUGGACACUGUCCACGACGGAACAUGCGAGUCUGCUCCGAUCUGGACACUGUCCACGACGGAACAUGCGAGUCUGCUCCGAUCUGGACACUGUCCACGACGGAACAUGCGAGUCAGCUCCGAUCUGGACACUGUCCACGACGGAACAUGCGAGUCUGCUCCGAUCUGGACACUGUCCACGACGGAACAUGCGAGUCUGCUCCGAUCUGGACACUGUCCACGACGGAACAUGCGAGUCUGCUCCGAUCUGGACACUGUCCACGACGGAACAUGCGAGUCUGCUCCGAUCUGGACACUGUCCACGACGGAACAUGCGAGUCAGCUCCGAUCUGGACACUGUCCACGACGGAACAUGCGAGUCAGCUCCGAUCUGGACACUGUCCACGACGGAACAUGCGAGUCAGCUCCGAUCUGGACACUGUCCACGACGGAACAUGCGAGUCUGCUCCGAUCUGGACACUGUCCACGACGGAACAUGCGAGUCUGCUCCGAUCUGGACACUGUCCACGACGGAACAUGCGCGUCUGCUCCUUUCUGGACACUGUCCACGACGGAACAUGCGCGUCUGCUCCUUUCUGGACACUGUCCACGACGGAACAUGCGAGUCUGCUCCUUUCCGGACACUGUCCACCAGGCAAGCUGCAGGUGUGCUCCCAACUGUACACUGUUCUUCAUAAUAAUAGUUGUAUGUCAUUGCAGGAGGGACAGCGCAGUGUUUUAAAGGUUUUUCAAAAACACUCUGGUACCUCUUUGUCACUGAGGCUGCAGCCCUCUGUUACAAAAAGUGUAGCCCUACACUUUUCGAAAUCUUCCCUUAACCUAACCCCCUAA
rnacentral:lncRNA from 1 species